rnacentral:rRNA from 1 species
AACGAACGCUGGCGGCAGGCUUAACACAUGCAAGUCGAGCGCCUCGCAAGAGGAGCGGCAGACGGGUGAGUAACGCGUGGGAACGUACCCUUAUCUUCGGAAUAGCUCUGGGAAACUGGAAGUAAUACCGAAUGUGCCCUUAGGGGGAAAGAUUUAUCGGAUAAGGAUCGGCCCGCGUUGGAUUAGCUAGUUGGUGGGGUAAAGGCCUACCAAGGCGACGAUCCAUAGCUGGUCUGAGAGGAUGAUCAGCCACAUUGGGACUGAGACACGGCCCAAACUCCUACGGGAAGCAGCAGUGGGGAAUAUUGGACAAUGGGCGCAAGCCUGAUCCAGCCAUGCCGCGUGAGUGAUGAAGGCCUUAGGGUUGUAAAGCUCUUUCACCGGAGAAGAUAAUGACGGUAUCCGGAGAAGAAGCCCCGGCUAACUUCGUG